rnacentral:rasiRNA from 1 species
AGCAUCAGAAGCGAAUAUUACCCAC